CCCUUAGAUGUUCUGGGCCGCACACGCGCUACACUGAAGGAGGCAGCGUGUACUCCUGGAUCGAAAGAUUUGGGUAACCCGCGAAUCUCCUUCGUGCUAGGGAUUGAGGUUUGCAAUUAUCCUUCAUGAACGAGGAAUUCCCAGUAAGUGCAAGUCAUAAGCUUGCGCUGACUACGUCCCUGCCCUUUGUACACACCGCCCGUCGCUACUACCGAUUGGAUGAUUUAGUGAGGACUUCGGACUGGGACCGAUGCGGCUUUCGGGCUGCGUCGGUAUUCUGGAAAGAUGUCCAAACUGUAUCAUUUAGAGGAAGUAAAANUCGUANCA
rnacentral:rRNA from 1 species